AAAAGUAUACAAAAUCUGCAAACUUUGCAAGGCUAUAUUUUCCUCAUUUUACAACAUUUCGCAACCAAACUUUGCAAUUUUACUCAUUUUGGUAUGCUCUUUCUAGCUGUGGUGAUUUAUUUGCAUCUCCUUGCCUAGUUUUAAAAUUAGUCUAUAAUGGGAAUUGUCUAUAUUACACUGUGAAAUAGGUUAUUUUACAACCUUUCUUAGUUACCUCUUGUCAUUCCCGAGAUAUUUUGCGUUUGUUUGAUGCGCAAAUGAAAUAAACCUAUGACGUGACAAGCUGGUAAAAUAUUUUCAAAGAUGGCAGUCAGCCAAAGUCACAAAGCUCGCUGUUCA